rnacentral:lncRNA from 1 species
UGGGGCGGCUCGGCGUUCUCAAUGGACAGCAGAGUGGGAGGGGCUGUGGUGAUUCCGAGCUCUCCCUCAGGGCGUGCGCGAGGAGGGUGGAGUGUUCUGGGCGUUCCGAGUGAGGUGGUUCAUUUCCGUACGUCGUUUUUUGUCCCGGAGGAAGAAAAAAAGCUGAAGAUAAAGAGGAAAAGAAAAAUGGAGGACAUAGCAGGAAUUCAGCAGUGUUAAACCUUGAGGUACUGGGACAUAAACGUACAGCCCAAAGAAAAGAUGCCAUGUUUAUUGUAACAACACAUACACAAACAAGG